rnacentral:rRNA from 1 species
UACAGAGGGUGCGAGCGUUGUUCGGAAUUAUUGGGCGUAAAGGGCGCGUAGGCGGGUGCUCAAGUCCGUGGUGAAAUCCUCCGGCUCAACCGGAGAACUGCCUCGGAUACUGGGCGUCUCGAGUGUGGUAGGGGUAUGCGGAACUAUCGGUGGAGCGGUGAAAUGCGUUGAUAUCGAUAGGAACUCCGGUGGCGAAGGCGGCAUACUGGACCACCACUGACGCUGAUGCGCGAAAGCCAGGGGAGCAAACGGG